GCUGGCAUAGCUCAGUUGGUAGAGCAAUUCACUUGUAAUGAAUAGGUCGGGGGUUCAAAUCCUCUUGCCAGCUCCA
rnacentral:tRNA from 1 species